AAGCAGGGGAUCGCAAGACCUUACGCUUUUGGAGCGGCCGAUGUCUGAUUAGCUAGUUGGUGAGGUAAAGGCUUACCAAGGCUACGAUCAGUAGCUGGUCUGAGAGGACGACCAGCCACACUGGGACUGAGACACGGCCCAGACUCCUACGGGAGGCAGCAGUGGGGAAUUUUGGACAAUGGGCGAAAGCCUGAUCCAGCCAUGCCGCGUGAGUGAAGAAGGCCUUCGGGUUGUAAAGCUCUUUCAGCCGGAACGAAACGGUUACGAUUAAUACCUGUAACUAAUGACGGUACCGAAAGAAGAAGCACCGGCUAACUACGUGCCAGCAGCCGCGGUAAUACGUAGGGUGCAAGCGUUAAUCGGAAUUACUGGGCGUAAAGGGUGCGCAGGUGGUUUUGUAAGUCAGAUGUGAAAUCCCCGGGCUUAACCUGGGAACUGCGUUUGAAACUACAAAGCUAGAGU
rnacentral:rRNA from 1 species